CUUCUUUGUUCCUUAUAAUUCAUUCUUCAAUUUUGGGGAACAUGAACUCGGCAAAUCUGACAUCUAGCAGGUUGCGAGUUAUGUUAUUUCCCCUACAUCAGAAGUACAAGUAGAACCACUGAAAACAUUGGAAGUCAUGACUUUUUAACUUUUUUAUAUGUUAAACCAAUAUAUGUUUUUACUUUCUCAGAAGCAAAACUCAAAAGCAUAGGGAAAUACAUCUUACUUCCUGGAAUUAGAAGAAUGAUGGCAGAAAGGAGAAAGAAAGGAAAAGGGGUUAGUACUGAUAGUAACCAGCGUGAAAAAGAGAAUAGUAUCUGGUUCCCAGAAACAGUUUGUAUUUCUUCAUAUGAGCAUGGCAGCCACCACCAAAGGAUGAAUGAAGAGGACCACCAAAGAAGCUACACAAAGAAGCUCAUCUAGUGUCCUAAGGAUCACCCCUUGGUCCUGUCUCCCAAAGGUUCUAGUCAUCUACCAAUAACUUUACCAUGGAGACCAAGCCUUUAAUCACCAUGGACACUUGGUGAGCACUCAAAGUACACCUAAACUAUACCAGAG
rnacentral:lncRNA from 1 species